rnacentral:rRNA from 1 species
ACUUUAUUAAAAAGAAGCGUUCGGCUUUGACUCUGGGAAAGCGCUCAACACUGGGGAAAAGACCGGAUACGAGCUGCGAACGCAUGGUCAGUAGCUGGAAAGAAUUUCUGUCAGGGGUGAGCUUUUUUUUUUAUAAGCUGGGUGGCGAGGUAUUGUGUCACCCAGGCGUAGACGGAUAGCCGGCCUGAUGGAGUGUCCGACCAAAGUGGUACUGAGACUUGGCCUAGACUCCUACUUGAUGCACUGGGGGCCGUAUUGAACAAUGGGCUGCACCCUGAUACAGCUUCAAGCAUGGGAGAUGGCUUGCUUCGGGUUGUAAACCUCUUUUAGCAGGGAAGAAGAAAGGUGACGAACCUGUGGAACAACUCUUUUUAGACUUUUGCCAGCACUGCGGUAACCUUAUGUUGUUAGUUUUAUCCGUAGUAUUGGCUUUAAAGUUGCCGAAAGUAUCUGUCGCGUCUGCCGCGUAAACCCGGAGCCUCAACCUCGGUCCUGAGGUUGUGUACGGGCGGACUAAAUCCCCGGAGGGGGAAUUUGAAAAUCCCUGGUGGCGGCGGCGGAAAUCCGCGGAAUGCAGGCAGAAACCCCGAUUUGCCAAAGGUUAAAUCUCUGGGCCCCCCAAAGCGCUGAGGAGCGAAAGGGUGGGGAGCAAACAGGCUUAGAUACCCUGGUAGUCCACCCCGUAAACGUUGGGAACUAGUUGUGGGGUCCAUUCCACGGAUUCCGUGACGCAGCUAACGCAUUAAGUUCCCCGCCUGGGGAGUACGGCCGCAAGGCUAAAACUCAAAGGAAUUGACGGGGACCCGCACAAGCGGCGGAGCAUGCGGAUUAAUUCGAUGCAACGCGAAGAACCUUACCAAGGCUUGACAUAUAGAGGAAACGGCUGGAAACAGUCGCCCCGCAAGGUCUCUAUACAGGUGGUGCAUGGUUGUCGUCAGCUCGUGUCGUGAGAUGUUGGGUUAAGUCCCGCAACGAGCGCAACCCUCGUUCUAUGUUGCCAGCACGUAAUGGUGGGAACUCAUGGGAUACUGCCGGGGGUCAACUCGGAGGAAGGUGGGGGAUGACGUCCAAAUCAUCAUGUC